AGUGAACGCUGGCGGUAGGCCUAACACAUGCAAGUCGAAUGGCAGCACAGGAGAGCUUGCUCUCUGGGUGGCGAGUGGCGGACGGGUGAGGAAUACAUCGGAAUCUACCUUUUCGUGGGGGAUAACGUAGGGAAACUUACGCUAAUACCGCAUACGACCUACGGGUGAAAGUGGGGGACCGCAAGGCCUCACGCGAUUAGAUGAGCCGAUGUCCGAUUAGCUAGUUGGCGGGGUAAUGGCCCACCAAGGCGACGAUCGGUAGCUGGUCUGAGAGGAUGAUCAGCCACACUGGAACUGAGACACGGUCCAGACUCCUACGGGAGGCAGCAGUGGGGAAUAUUGGACAAUGGGCGCAAGCCUGAUCCAGCCAUACCGCGUGGGUGAAGAAGGCCUUCGGGUUGUAAAGCCCUUUUGUUGGGAAAGAAAUCCUGUCGAUUAAUACUCGGUGGGGAUGACGGUACCCAAAGAAUAAGCACCGGCUAACUUCGUG
rnacentral:rRNA from 1 species